rnacentral:rRNA from 1 species
GAGUUUGAUCCUGGCUCAGAUUGAACGCUGGCGGCAUGCCUUACACAUGCAAGUCGAACGGCAGCAUGAUCUAGCUUGCUAGAUUGAUGGCGAGUGGCGAACGGGUGAGUAAUACAUCGGAACGUGCCCUGUAGUGGGGGAUAACUAGUCGAAAGAUUAGCUAAUACCGCAUACGACCUGAGGGUGAAAGUGGGGGACCGCAAGGCCUCAUGCUAUAGGAGCGGCCGAUGUCUGAUUAGCUAGUUGGUGGGGUAAAGGCCCACCAAGGCGACGAUCAGUAGCUGGUCUGAGAGGACGAUCAGCCACACUGGGACUGAGACACGGCCCAGACUCCUACGGGAGGCAGCAGUGGGGAAUUUUGGACAAUGGGCGAAAGCCUGAUCCAGCAAUGCCGCGUGGGUGAAGAAGGCCUCGGUUGUAAGU